GGGAAUGUGGCUUAGUGGUAGAGUGCUUGCCUUGCAUGCAUGGAGCCCUGGGUUCGGUUCCUCAGUACCA
rnacentral:tRNA from 1 species